rnacentral:rRNA from 1 species
GACGAACGCUGGCGGCGUGCCUAAUACAUGCAAGUUGAGCGCUGAAGGUUGGUACUUGUACCAACUGGAUGAGCAGCGAACGGGUGAGUAACGCGUGGGUAAUCUGCCUUUGAGCGGGGGACAACAUUUGGAAACGAAUGCUAAUACCGCAUAAAAACUUUAAACACAAGUUUUAAGUUUGAAAGAUGCAAUUGCAUCACUCAAAGAUGAUCCCGCGUUGUAUUAGCUAGUUGGGUAGGUAAAGGCCCACCAAGGCGAUGAUACAUAGCCGACCUGAGAGGGUGGAUCGCCCCAAUGGGAAUGAGACACCGCUCAAGAUCCUACGGGAGGCAGCAGUAGGGGAUCUUCGGCAAUGGAGCGAAGUCUGACCGAGCCAAGCCGGGUGAGUGAAGAAGGUUUUCGGAUCGUAAAACUCUGUUGGUAGAGAAGAAAGUUGGUGAGAGUGGAAAGCUCAUCAAGUGACGGUAACUACCCAGAAAGGGACGGCUAACUACGUG